rnacentral:lncRNA from 1 species
CUGCCUCUCUCUAGAGCCUGGACUGUUCACCCCUAAAGUUGUUCUCCUGCCUUCUCUGUGGUUGCUGCGUUCCGGUUACUGCUAGAGCUUUGCCAAGAGCAAUUGGCCCUGCCUGCUUUCCUCACUCAUUCUUCCCUUACUUACUCUGGUGACUUCCUCUGACCAAGAAGAGGAUCUUCAAGGCUGUCUCUCCACUCUAUGUAAAAUGAUUGGACUUGUGGCAAGUGAGCAGAGGACAGGUCAGUGUGGAGACAGGAGAGAGUUGUGAAGUGGGCUUGGGA